AGAUGCCAUGGGCAGCCUCACAGCCACAGUGCUGGAGCGUGGCUUUGGCACAGUACAGGUGAUAAAGGCAACUGUGGUGACUGAAGGGAGAUCAGCGCAGAUGCGGCUGCCAUUGAGGAUGGCUCUUGAGGAGCGAUGGUGAUGCCCAGCAUUUGAACAAUGCUGAGCAGUGUUCUGAGUGGGCCCAAGGGAGCUGGAGGAAGAAAGGGGCAUGCCCCAAG